AGUGGACGUCAGGUGCUUGUUGGCUCUCAUCUAGCUGCAGUUUUAGGAGAAGACGCCGCUCAAGUGACUCCAAGCAUAGAAGACCUAAGAGCCAACUCAAGACCAUCCAUCAGACCAGACCCACUGAGUGACCCACUGACCAAACCCCCUCUUACCUCUCUUUGUGCCUGCUCUAACUUUUGUUCUGUACUUCUUUCUGUCCGUCCUCCCCACAUGCCAGAGUCAAACCAGCCUGAAUCAAACCAGUGCCACAGUCCAGUCAUUUCAGAAUCAAACCAGUCUGAUGCAAACCAGUGCCACAGUUCAGUCAUUUCAGAGUCAAACCAGUCUGGGUCAAACCAGUGCCACAGUCCAAUCAUUUCAGAGUCAAACCAGUGCCAGAGUCCAGUCAUUUCAGAGUCAAACCAAUCUGAGUCAAACCAGUGCCACAGUUACAUCAGUUCAGAGUCAAACCAGUUUAACUCAAGACCGGUUUGAGUCAAACCAGUCUGAAUCAAACCAGUGCCACAGUCUAGUCAUUUCAGAAUCAAACCAGUCUGAGUCAAACCAGUGCCACAGUCCAGUCAUUUCAGAAUCAAACCAUUCUGAGUCAAACCAGUGCCACAGUCCAGUCAUUUCAGAAUCAAACCAGUUUGAGUAAAACCAGUGCCACAGUCCAGUCAUUUCAGAAUCGAACCAGUCUGAGUCAAACCAGUGCCACAGUCCAAUCAUUUCAGUCAAACCAGUCUGAGUCAAACCAGUGCCACAGUUCAAUCAUUUCAGAGUCAAAUCGGCGCCAGAGUCGUCAUUUCAGAAUCAGACCAGUCUGAGUCAAACCAGUGCCACAGUCAGCCAUUUCAGAGUCAAACCAGUCUGAGUACAGCCAGUGCCACAAUCCAGUCAUUUCAGAGUCAAACCAAUCUUGAGUCAAACCAGUGCCACAGUCAUUUCAGAGUCAAAUCAGUCUGAGUCAAACCAGUGCCACAGUCCAGUCACUUCAUAGUCAAAUCAGUCUAAAUUAAACCAGUGCCACAUUCAGUCAUUUCAGAGUCAAACCAGUCUGAAUCAAACCAGUGCCACAGUCCACUCCAGUCCAGUCAUUUCAGAGUCAAACCAGUCUUGAGUCUAACCAGUGCAAGAGUUCAUUAAUUUGAGUCAAACCAGUCUGAGUCAAACCAGUGCCACAGUCCAAUUAUUUGAAUCAAACUACUGUCUGAGUCGUCAUUUCAGAAUCAAACCAGUCUGAGUCAAACCAGUGCCACAGUCAGUCAUUUCAGAGUCAAACCAGUCUGAGUACAGCCAGUGCCACAAUCCAGUCAUUUCAGAGUCAAACCAAUCUUGAGUCAAACCAGUGCCACAGUCAUUUCAGAGUCAAAUCAGUGCCACAGUCCA